GAGAAUUGUCUCCCCUUGUUCCCGGGCCUGAGUGCCCGCCUAGGGGAAGUACAAAACCACCUGUUUACCUAUACCUGUUGCUUCCGUGGAGACAUGGGUGCCCAUCCUGCUUUAGCAGGCGUGGGUUACCUUCCACGGGUGUGCCUAAUAAAAAACCGUUUGUCAUUGAGCAGUGUCUGAAAAAACUUUACAAUCAAAGUUA
rnacentral:misc_RNA from 1 species